UACGAAGGUGGCAAGCGUUGUUCGGAUUUACUGGGCGUACAGGGAGCGUAGGCGGUUGGGUAAGCCCUCCGUGAAAUCUCCGGGCCUAACCCGGAAAGUGCGGAGGGGACUGCUCGGCUAGAGGAUGGGAGAGGAGCGCGGAAUUCCCGGUGUAGCGGUGAAAUGCGUAGAGAUCGGGAGGAAGGCCGGUGGCGAAGGCGGCGCUCUGGAACAUUUCUGACGCUGAGGCACGAAAGCUAGGGUAGCGAACGGG
rnacentral:rRNA from 1 species